UACUUGGGACCACAUUUCUCUGCUAGAACCACAGAAAUGCUGCUGCGGCCCCGACCGUCGAGGGCUCCGGCGUCACAGAGCCUGUCCCUUGUAUCUGGGAGCCCCGGGGAAGGCGCAGGGGCGUGAGAAAGGCUCUUUGUAUUCAGAGCGGUCACCCAGCAGAGCCGGAGCCUUCCACCGCCAGGUUUUCCUCCGCGCAAGGCGCCGCCGGGAAGCGAAUUGCCCUAGGUUGAGUUAAAUACAUUCCCCGGGAGCCAUCUGGUCUGAUUCCCGGCAACCUUCAUAUGGUUUCCAUUAAGCUCUCCAAAAGCAUGCAUUGAAAAGGCAGCCCUGUAGCCACUUAGGAACCUCCGGAGUUUUGCCCUGGCCAGCCCCGGUAGACAUCCCAGGCAGAAGGAGAGAAAGGCCUCUGUUUAGGUUCCGAGUCUAGUACCUCAUGAUCCUGGUUUUAAUCUCUAAUUUCUUGGCUUUUCCUGGUCCAAGAAAAUACCGUUCUC
rnacentral:lncRNA from 1 species